rnacentral:rRNA from 1 species
CACCAAGGCGACGAUCCCUAGCUGGUCUGAGAGGAUGACCAGCCACACUGGAACUGAGACACGGUCCAGACUCCUACGGGAGGCAGCAGUGGGGAAUAUUGCACAAUGGGCGCAAGCCUGAUGCAGCCAUGCCGCGUGUAUGAAGAAGGCCUUCGGGUUGUAAAGUACUUUCAGCGGGGAGGAAGGUGUUGUGGUUAAUAACCGCAGCAAUUGACGUUACCCGCAGAAGAAGCACCGGCUAACUCCGUGCCAGCAGCCGCGGUAAUACGGAGGGUGCAAGCGUUAAUCGGAAUUACUGGGCGUAAAGCGCACGCAGGCGGUCUGUCAAGUCGGAUGUGAAAUCCCCGGGCUCAACCUGGGAACUGCAUUCGAAACUGGCAGGCUUGAGUCUUGUAGAGGGGGGUAGAAUUCCAGGUGUAGCGGUGAAAUGCGUAGAGAUCUGGAGGAAUACCGGUGGCGAAGGCGGCCCCCUGGACAAAGACUGACGCUCAGGUGCGAAAGCGUGGGGAGCAAACA